UCUAUGGCCGUACCACCCUGAACUUGCCCAAAUUUAUCUGAUCUUAGAAGCUAAACGGGGUCGCUUCUGGUUGAUACUUGGAUGGGAGACCACCUAGAUUUAAAAAAUAAUAAGAU
rnacentral:rRNA from 1 species